UCCCAGAGCUUUUACAGACACAAUGCUUUGAAAAGACCGCUAGUGUUGGUAACACUUAUGACAGAUGUGCCAGUCAUUCUGCUGAGCAUUUUAAAGAAUCCAUCAUUCCAGACCCAGCCCUGUGCAGUAAGUACUAUCAUUUCCAUCUUUUAACAGUGAAGGACCUGAGCCUUCAGUGACUUGCCCCAGGUCAGAGAGCUGGUAAGUGACCGGGCGAGCUGGGCCAUUCCUCUCCCAUCAGAGCUGGCCCAGGCUGGAUUCCUAUUUGAACUUGCACAUGCCCUUGACCUCUCUGGGUCUCGUAUGGAGAUAAAGGGCAGCUAAUAACAUCCGCUUUAUUUCCUUUGCACGAUUGUCUUGAGGAAAGUACUGUGCGAACAGAAAUUCCACCUGGAAUGGGAGGAAUUUAAUCUUCACACAGGAAGGUAAGUCAAAGAAAGGAAUGUAGAACUUGGGCGGUCACAGGGAGCCUGCAUCUUCAUGGCACUGUCCUGCUCCUCUCAGAGAAGGAGAAGGGACUGUGGAGACGUAGGGCACACAUGGUCUAAGCCGAGAGCCUAAGGAGGCUCCUGUAGUCCUGGGGAGGCCACCUGCGCUGUGGAAAGUUGAAGGUUCAGAUCUCCUUGAGCCUUUCGAUUUGUGUGUACGUAUGCAUACACACACACACACACAAACACACACACACACUGAUGCUCUUAGCUCUCAGUAAUAAUGCAUCACUGGGCUUCCACCUUAGCAGAGUAAGUAAAACACGUAAACAAAUAAUAAAUUAUGCCUGGGCCAAUGGGGCAUGGAAGUAGUAACUAUAAAAUACUACCCAGGGGAGAGAAAGUUUAUUGAGACUGUGAUAGAACACCCCAAUCUCAUUGCCAAGGACAUUAUUUCACACCCAGAGUAACCUGACAGGGUUGUUACUUCUUGAAGGAGAACUUUCUCUUUUUCCUUUUUCUUAAACACCAGAUUUCUUUUUUUUCUUCAAACAAUGCCAAUCUUUCCUUCUGAAGGGAUCUUGAAAAGCCGAUUUUUUCCAUUAUUAUGCAAAGGACGCGGGUUGCACAGAACGAAGGAAUUCUUGAUGCCAAGACUUAAAGUACCUACUGCUGAUUUGGCAAGAUACCGGGCAGCCUCCAUGAACAAGCCUUCGUUCAGUCUUCGCAAGAACAGGACGAGAGCGGUACCCGUACGGCCAGUAUUCUCAGAGCCGAGGACCUGGAGGCCUGGAGCGAUUAGUGGCUUGACCAAGGUCACACUACUGAGAAACGUGGCACCAAAUCCCGGAUUCCCUCUCCUUCGCCUUCUGACAAGAAUAGGGAAAUGGUAAAACAAACAGGGUAUACCUCCUGGGAUAGUAUUUUACAAUUAAAAAUUAUUAUGAGCUCUAUGUAGUAACAUGGUAAAUGCUCGUUAUAUAGUGUUUAGUGAAAAAUGCAAUACCCAAAGGUGUAAAAUAUGCAGAAGAAAAAUGAAGUAGAAUGCUUAAACACUAACAGUAGCUGAGUAGCAUGGUAAGCUUAUUUUUCCCCCUUUUAAUUUCAUGUAAUGUGGUAUAGGUCUUUUGUAAUGAAAGAAUGAAUAUAAUCUUUUUUCUUAAAGGACUAGUACUAUACGCUCAGAAUCGAUAAGGAAAAGGCUAAAAUGAAUAGUAAUAUAUUUUCCUUUCCUUGGCAAUAAAAGCUAAUAAGUAAUUGAUUUGCA
rnacentral:lncRNA from 1 species